UCUGCCUUGAAGAUCGGAGUGCUUGCACUCUGUGAAACAAGAUACAGGCUAGCGGCGGACGGGUGAGUAACACGUGGGUAACCUGCCCAAGAGAUCGGGAUAACACCUGGAAACAGAUGCUAAUACCGGAUAACAACAGAUGAUGCCUAUCAACUGUUUAAAAGAUGGUUCUGCUAUCACUCUUGGAUGGACCUGCGGUGCAUUAGCUAGUUGGUAGGGUAACGGCCUACCAAGGCGAUGAUGCAUAGCCGAGUUGAGAGACUGAUCGGCCACAUUGGGACUGAGACACGGCCCAAACUCCUACGGGAGGCAGCAGUAGGGAAUCUUCCACAAUGGACGCAAGUCUGAUGGAGCAACGCCGCGUGAGUGAAGAAGGGUUUCGGCUCGUAAAGCUCUGUUGUUGGUGAAGAAGGAC
rnacentral:rRNA from 1 species